GGCUUAGUGGUCUAGUGGCUACAGCUUCUGAUUCGUAUGCAGAAAGUUCUAGGUUCAAUCCCUGGCUCAUCCC
rnacentral:tRNA from 1 species